GAUGAACGCUGGCGGCGUGCCUAAUACAUGCAAGUCGAGCGAACAGACGAUGAGCUUGCUCCUCUGACGUUAGCGGCGGACGUGUGAGUAACACGUGGAUAACCUCCCUAUAAGACUGGGUUAACUUCGGGAAUCCGGAGCUAAUACCGGAUAAUAUAUUGAACCGCAUGGUUCAAUAGUGAAAGACGGUUUUGCUGUCACUUAUAGAUGGAUCCGCGCCGCAUUAGCUAGUUGGUAAGGUAACGGCUUACCAAGGCAACGAUGCGUAGCCGACCUGAGAGGGUGGUCGGCCACACUGGAAGUGAGAAAGGGUCCAGACUCCUACGGGAGGCAGCAGUAGGGAAUCUUCCGGAAUGGGGGAAAGCGUGACGGAGCAACGCCGCGUGAGUGAUGAAGGUCUUCGGAUCGUAAAACUCUGUUAUUAGGGAAGAACAAAUGUGUAAGUAACUAUGCACGUAGUGACGGUACCUAAUCAGAAAGCCACGGCUAACUACGUG
rnacentral:rRNA from 1 species